GUGCAGAGAGGAAGGAGUCAGUGCUGGGAGGAGCUGCCCAUGAAAAUCUCCAAGAAGAACUUUAGUGACAUAACAAGAAAACAGGACAAAGAAGCCUCUGGACCCACUCUGAGGGGCUGACCUAGGGGAACAGAUUGUGCCAUGCAGGGCAAUUAUAGAUGGUAUUAGCAUAGGAGUGAGGCUAAGGGCAAUGCUGCAUCUCCUCUGAAGAAUACAAAUAAAAGGAUAGUCUUUGUAUCUAAGCAACAGUCCUGCCUGAUGCUGAAAGAGAACAUCAUCUCUCAUGCCUAACUAUUCCUUUAACAUGAAUGAACCUCUGGAGGCACUUGUAUGAAGAGUUGCUUGUGCUCCAGGGCUGCCAUUCUGCAGAAUUUAAAACGUAGUACCUUAUUUCCUGGGUUUAACACAGUUCUCCAAACAAUCACCGGAGAAUUGAACUAGCUCAAUAAAUGUCUGCAUUCUUAUCAGUUGCUGAGAUUAUUACCACGUCAAUCUUUACUUCAGUCAAAACAGUUGGGAGUUUUUUUGAUGCCAGUGUAGAAAUCAUGACGACCAGGUUGCAAUUCCUACCACACGGAGCUCUCUGCUGAGAACCAAAACUAAUUCAGUCUGAAGGAUACAGAAAAUUCUACAGCUCUGGAAAAAUAGCGCUGGAAUAAAAUCUGGAAAAAAUCACACCAUUGAGAAUAAGAAGCCAUCUUUAUAAUGUUUCUAUCUUUUUAAAAUUUUGAAAAGCAAGAAGAUGGUGCAUCAAUAAAUUUUUAAUAAGCUUUUUCACUGUCCUUAUGAGUUUAAGAUGGACUAAAUACUGUUCUUUUUGACAUAAAAAUUAUGGAAUGCAGAGAACACUGUUUAAGACAGGCUAGAAGAAUUGCCAUGGACUCAGAAAUGGAUGCUAAUGGAAAAUGAAGUGGCAACUGUGAGUUUAUACUAGCAAAUGGAAAGUGUGAACAUGCAGUUGUGUGGAUAUAUGCAUUGACAAAAUGUUCUUUGGGAUUACAGUGCUUUUAGUCCUCAAUGUCACAAACCCCUAUUUUUGAAAGCAAAUUUUGUAUUAAAACUUGGAGUUCCUUUUAGAUUAUGAGCAAAAUGCAGAUUACUGAAACUGGUGUCAAUUUUGCUCACUGAGGAAACAUGGAGAUAUUUAGUGGUAGAAAUAGGGAAAAGAUAUUCUUAUUGACUAAGUUUCAAGCUUUACUUUGAGUCCUGGACAUAACAGCAGAAUGCAUGAGAGCAUUUAAUUUAUAGGGUAGGCAGAUAUUUGUCAUUGUCCUUCUCUGAGUUUUGAGAGGGCAGGGUACUAGAAUCUCUUGUUCUCAUAGACCAAAGCCAUGGUUACCUGGCCUGUGUAUUAUAUCAAGGAUAAGUUCUAUUAAUUUCUAGAAUUAGUAGAUCUGAUUUUUCCUUUAAUAUGUAAGGAGUAAUUACAUUAGGUGCAAUGCUCUUGAAGUGACAAUGGUAUCUACAUCCAAACAAUUGUCUGAAUGAGAAAUGGCUGAGAAGUGGAGGUCUUGUAUAUGUAUUUCCCCAGCAACAAGUUGCAUGUAAUAAUGUUAAUUAAACCACAUAAGUCUGUAAUUUUUAAAAGAACUAAUGGAUCUCUCUUUAAAAUCUAUAUAAUAUAGGAUAAAAUCAUUAUCUGUAAGAUGCACUGAUCUUCCCUUGACCUUCCUUUAAUUUUUCUACUCUUACAAUACAUCUUGGGAGAACAGCAGUCUAGGUAAAUCUGACAGACAAGAAGGUGGUUUCCUUUCUGUGGUUGCUGAGCCAGUCUGAACACCUGUUCUGCUCCUGUGUAAUUUCUCUGCACACAGCUUCAAAUAGUGUUUGAUGAUCACUCACAACAUUUGUAAUAAAAACUGAAUAAGAGCUCCAUACAGACAAAUGCAUCUCUAGUGAGCUUGACUGUGGGUUUGAGAUAUGGAAGAAAAUAUAGUUCUUCAAUAUUAAAUAAGACUUUGAACUAGAGGUAGGCCUUGAUCUUCACUUCUGCAGCCAAAGAAGAAAUAAAGUCUGCUUUUAUUUUACUGGAACUGGUGAAGGAAAUCUAAUUCAAGAAUGAAGAGCAGUCACAGGAAAACAAAACAUACAAACAAAAUCUUUUCCAUUUGGCAAAAAGACUGCAUCAUACUAUUCUGUAUGUGGACUUCGAGUGAUAAUCUGGGCUUUGCAGUCCCUGAGCUCAAAUGUAACAAUGGCCAGGCUUAAACAGAUAAGUCUUCCUCUGAGGAGUACAAGAGGAUGAAUACCAGCACAGUGAGUCUGACCUGCCUUGUGCCAGUUUGAGCACCUGAGUAAAACUGAAGGAGUCUACUGGUUUCAGUACAGCAAUAUCAAUCACACGACCCUGUGUUUUAUUUGAUUUGUUAGUCACUUCCUGUAAUUAAGUUCAAAGUUUUUGUUUGAACUAUGUCUACUUUUCAAUCACUUGAGAAAAUGGAUGAUUUUUUCAGAGGUUGGCCUUGAAUAGUAAUGGAGUUUUGGGGCAUACUUUUCCAAGAAGCAGUUCAGGAGUGAGGGAAGAAUACUGUUGUCCUAUGGAUCUCUUCAAAAUAAUUUUUUGUGGUUGAUUUUGCCAGUCUUGGUUUGGUAUCACAAAACGCUUGCCUGGAUACCUCAUAAAAAUUUAGAUUUUUUUUUUUCGAUGUGGUUUGAGCAAAAUCUUUUUAAACAAAAUAUCUCUAAUCCCAUAGUCAAACCCUAGUUGAUUUCUGAAUUUGAAAGCUAUGGUAAUACUAUGCUACAGUAUUUGAGGAUAUUUAGUCCUAACUUCCAUACUCAGUGGCUGCCACUAUAAAUAAUAAAUUAUAUAUUGAAAAGUAAGUGAAAGAAGAGUCCAUUUCUAUAUCAAAUUCAAUUCAAUGACAUCUAAAAGCUAUAAAUAUUUCUUUCUUUAACAAAAGAUUCUGUGGUUUUUUUCUUUAAUAAGAAUUUGCUGAAGAUAAUCUUCUUAAAUAAAAGUACUAUCUCUA